AAUUUAUUAGAAAAGUUUAUCGGUCACAGCUAGUCCGAUUAAAUUUAAAUUUAAAUUUAUAAUACCUUUAUUUAGAAUCUUGGAGACUUAUCGUCCACCGACCGAUUGACAUCUCGAAAAUAGAUCCUUGUAUUUUUCGUAGACGAUUAUUAUAAAAUACGGUUUUUUUGAAAUUACUCAUAAACGGCUUUAACGAUCGAUUCCAAAAACUAAUCAACUCUUAAACUUAAAAAUCCACGUUGAUCACCGCUAACCAGGUCAAAAUCGGUUGAUUCGUUCGUGAGAUAUCGUGAAAAAAAGAAAUCGAAAAAAUUGAUUUUUUUUUUUCAAAUUACUCCGAAAUUUUCAAUACGAUUAAUCAGUGCUUUUGAUUUUUCAUAGGACUCAAAAAACAACUCCGAUUGCCACCAACCACGUGGAAAUCGGUUGAUUCAUUCAAAAGUUAUGGCAGUUUGAAAAUUAAAAAAAUAGUGCUUUACUAAACUUCCAUCAGACCUAUGAGCUCGAAGAGCUCAAAAGUAUAAAACAGCUCUUGUUUUGAAUUUGGAGAGCUCAAAAUAAUGAAUAAUUUAUAUUUUUGAGCUCGAAGAGAUCAAAAACAGAGUAACAAGCAAAAUUCGAUCUCUUAGGUAUGAGAUUAGCGGGAAGUUACAGGGAUGGCCUGCAAGGUCAACCGUCUUUUCUAAUUUUUUUUUAAUUAGAUCUCUUAUUUGUAAAUCUUUUUUAGAGGAAAUAAUUUAAUUUUUUAUUAAUAUUUCAGCACUUGAGUGUUAACAAGUGUGAAAAAAUUAACAUGUGCUGAUAAGGAUUUGGCUUUGAAUCAGAAACAGAAUUUAAAAAAAUAACCCAGCAAAACGUAAGAUACUCAACAUCACCAUUCUCGAAAUUUGAAUAAAAAUUAAAAAUUCUCGAUUGAACUUAAAAAUUAAGGGUGCCGAAUAAA
rnacentral:lncRNA from 1 species